GAAAAGUACAUUGUAUUUAUAAAUACAUGUAUCAACACAUAGAUUUGUGUUAAUUUGAACUUUCGUCUGCCAUAUAGGAUAGUAAUAACAAGAAAAUUAUCAGUUUUGAUAGAAAACAUUUAAUGACUAGCAUAACAUUGGAUACUGUCAAAUGUGGGGUAGAUAUUGACCAGUGUUUGGUAUUAUUAUGCGUUAUAAAACAAUUAACAAUAUAUGUGGAAUUUCCAUAACAUUUAAUUGUUUUUGUAUUGUGGUUGGAAUUUUAUAUCCAAACCCAAAAGGAUGAAGGCUAAUUACCAAUAUAAAUCUUGGUUUCAUGAUUUAAUAAAAAUAUUUAUUUGUUUUAAAAGGGACAAAGAAACAAUUUGAGCAUGAAAAAAUGAAAUUUAUUUUUCAGUUUUUAAUGAUUAAUUUAGGUAUUUCUAAUGCUUGACCAAGAUUUUAAUGUAAAAGGAGGUUAAGUUUUAAGUCAUCUUUGCUAGCAGAGUGGACCGAAAAAGCCUUGGCUUGCAUAGAUGGAAAGAUACUGAGCUCCUUAUUAUUUGUUUAUACAUAUGCAUGCAAAGAAAGCUUUCCUUAAUAAGUUUUGGUUUUACAUAUCAUGUACUGUGAAGAAAUUAUGUUAUCUUAAAAACAAAUAACUUUUGACAAUCAAGAUAACCUGUUGUACAAUGUUGCAUGCCAGACAAAACAAGAUUUGAAUGAAAAAUAUAACAUCUAUGAUUGUAAACAAAAACAAGGCUUGAGCUUUAUUUACAAACAAUGAAUUCCAACUCCAUAACUCACUUGUUACUCAACUACAUUCAGAUUUCUGUGAAGCAUUGGAAAUGCCCAAGUUAAUCAUUAUAUGCAAAAAAGUGAGAAAUAGAAUAUUACAAUUGUGAUCCCACAUCUUGUGUAUGCCCCUUUCAGAGGCAAUGGGAACUUAUGUGUAAUUCUGUCUGGUUGUUAACCUAUACAUGUAGCUGUGAUAAAAUAGUUAUUAUGCAAUUUUUUGUCAGAAAAUAUAUCACUAACAAAAGAG
rnacentral:misc_RNA from 1 species